ensembl:lncRNA
UAUGGACCUCCUUCAUCUCCAAAAACAGAACAGAAAAUCCAAAUAAUGUCUCACCUCCCACUCAGAUUUCCAAUUAGGGAAAGACCCUGCUGCAGCCUGCCUGCUCCAGUUGUCCGGAUCUACCAUGCAGACUGAUGCCAGUAUCAGCUAUCAAAUAGCCAGUUAGUUCUUAUCAGUACACGGAAUAUACAGCUCCUCAUGGAUCAAUCCCUUCCGAGAAAAAUCCAGAAACUAGUUGAGUGACUCCUACACAUCAGGCAGCUGAUAACGUACCCACAUUGAAACAGCCCUAAGAGUGCUAUUAUUCUUCCCAUUUUAAUGGGUAUUCGGAGGCUGAGAACUUUUCCAAGGUCACACACGGUAAGUAGCAGAGUCAGAAUUCUUAUUUCUUUUUUCUCCAACUCCCUACAUUUCAAAACUGUGCUGAAAUAUUGGGUUUGCCAACAAGUUUGCUCAGGUUUUCCAUAACAUCUCACAGAAAAACCUGAAUCAACUUGUUGGGUAACUCAAUCUCAUGAGCUGUAAAGGGUCUCUGGGCAAACCAGCUGG